CCGAAAUGUUAAGUGGCGAUACUCGAUUGGUGCCCUUCGCUACAAAAUUGGGAUUUGUUUUUGUCCAUUUUCGGUUUCGGUUCCCUGAGAGUCCCGGAAGCUCAGUGGUCGGAGUGUCGGCGUUCAAUUUCUCGAUGACUAAUAACCCUCAAAUUGUGUUAUAUCCCAGUGACCAGCUUGUCCUUCUCGGUGGAAAGUGACAUACGCUUCAUGCUUCUUUUACAUGUUCUUCAUAAACAGACAGAAAAGAAAAGAGAAGCUUAC